rnacentral:rRNA from 1 species
CUGGCGGCGUGCUUAACACAUGCAAGUCGAACGGAAAGGCCUCUUCGGAGGUACUCGAGUGGCGAACGGGUGAGUAACACGUGGGCAAUCUGCCCUGCACUUCGGGAUAAGCCUGGGAAACUGGGUCUAAUACCGGAUAGGACCUUUAGACGCAUGUCUUUUGGUGGAAAGCUUUUGCGGUGUGGGAUGGGCCCGCGGCCUAUCAGCUUGUUGGUGGGGUGAUGGCCUACCAAGGCGACGACGGGUAGCCGGCCUGAGAGGGUGUCCGGCCACACUGGGACUGAGAUACGGCCCAGACUCCUACGGGAGGCAGCAGUGGGGAAUAUUGCACAAUGGGCGCAAGCCUGAUGCAGCGACGCCGCGUGGGGGAUGACGGCCUUCGGGUUGUAAACCUCUUUCACCAUCGACGAAGGUCCGGGUUUUCUCGGAUUGACGGUAGGUGGAGAAGAAGCACCGGCCAACUACG